rnacentral:rRNA from 1 species
GACAUAGGUGACGAACGUUAUCCGGAAUUAUUGGGCGUAAAGGAUGCGUAGAUGGUUCGACAAGUUACUGGUGGGAAAUCGAGGCUCAACCUCGUGGAAGUUGGUAAUACUGUCGAGCUUGAGUGCAGGAGAGGUUAAUGGAACUUUUAUGUGGAGCGGUAAAAAAUGCGUAGAUAUAUGAAAAGAACACCAAUAUAGCGAAGGCAGUUAAACUAUUCUGUUACUGACAUUUGAGG